rnacentral:lncRNA from 1 species
AAUUAAAAAAUUGAAAAAUUGUACUAUUUUGAUUUCAAAUAUGUUUUGGUGAACAGAGUAUUUGAAAAGAUUUGAAUUUUGAAUACAAUUUUUAAACCUUAUUUUUUUUUAAUUUUUGAUUUUGACUUUUUUUGUCUUUAGAGGGCUGCAGCCAAGGCAUAUGGAGGUUCCCAGACUAGGGGUAGAAGCGGAGCUGUAGCUGUUGCCUACACUACAGCCAUAGCAACGCCAGAUAUGAGCCACAUCUGCUAACUACACCACAGCUUACACGCCGCUUGGAUCUAGCGUUGCUGUGACUGUGGUGUAGGCUGAUUCGACCCCCAGCCUGAGAGCUUCCAUAUGCUGCAAGUGCAGCCCUAAAAAGGAAAAAAAAAAAAAAGAAUUUGAAAAAAAUUUUUAUUGCUAUUAUUUUUUAUUGAAGUAUAACUAGCCCACAACACUGUUAGUUCCAGAUGCACAGCACAGUGAUUUGACAUCUCUGUACUUUACAGAGUGAACAGCUCUGAUUCUGGUUCAUAUCUGUCACCAUGCAAAGUUAUUACGGUAUCAUCGACUGUAUUUCCUAUGCUUUUCAUUUCAUGCCCAUGACAAUUUUGUAAUUGGAAGUUGGUACCUCUUCAUCCCUCUCACCUGUUUCACUGAUCCUCACACACUCUGCCUCUCAACCACCAGUGCUCUGUGUCUGAGUCAGUUUCUGUUUUAUUUUUGUUCAUUCGGUUUUUAGUUUCCAGAGCAUUUGUUUUAUCUGAUUUAUUUCACUAAGCAUAACAUAGAGCAUUUGUUUUAUCUGAUUUAUUUCACUAAGCAUAAUGCCAUCUAGUCUAGAUUCAUCCAAGUUGUUACAACGGCAGAAUUUCAUUCUUUUUUUUGUUACUGUUGAGUGGUAUUCCAUUGUCCUAUACCACAUCUUCUUUAUUGAUUCACCUAUUGAUGGAAACUUAGGUUACUUCUAUGUCCUGAUAUAAAUAAUGCUGCAUAUAUCUUUUCAAAUCAGUGUUUUUGUUUUACAUGGAAAAAUACCCAGAGGUAGAAUUGAUGGAUCAUAUGGUAUUUCUAUUUUAAUUUUUUAGGAAUUCCCUGUACCAUUUUCUAUAGAGGCUGCACAGUUUACCCCCUACCAACAGCACACAGUGGUUCCCUCUUAUCCACAUCUGGGUCAACACUUACUUGUUGCCCCCCCCCUUUUUUUUGUCUUUUUGCUAUUUCUUGGGCUGCUCCCUUGGCAUAUGGAGGUUCCCAGGCUAGGGGUCAAAUCGGAGCUGUAGCCUCCGGCCUACGCUAGAGCCACAGCAACGUGGGAUCCGAGCCGCAUCUGCAACCUACGCCACAGCUCACGGCAACGCCAGAUCAUUAACCCACUGCGCAAGGGCAGGUUAAGGGCAGGGCAGCCUCAUGGUUCCUAGUCGGAUUCGUUAACCACUGCGCCACGGCGGGAACUCCUUGUUGCCCUUUUUUGGGGCAAGAAAUGAAUUUAUUAAGAUAGCAUGAUUGUGAGAGAUGCAAGUGGCAGGCAAGGAGGCGCUGCCUCAAGGACUAGCUUUGUUGUUUUUUUGAUAAUAGACGUCUGAAAGGUGUGAGGUGCUUUGUUGUGGCUUUGAUUUGCAUUUCCCUGAGGGUUAGAGAUGUUGAGCAUCUUUUCAUGUAUGUAUUGGGCAUCUGUGUGCCUUCUUUGGAAAAAUAUCUAUUCAAGUCAAAUUUUUAAUCAGAUUUUUUUUCUUUAUGGUCUAUGGGUUCUCUGUAUAUAUGCACAAACACACAUACUCUAUAUAUUUUGGUCACACCCAUGGCAUAUGGAAGUUCCUAGGCCAGGGAUCAAACCCUCAUCACAGCAGAGAC